CGGCGGACGGGUGAGUAAUGUACGGGGAUCUGCCUGAUGGCGGGGGAUAACUACUGGAAACGGUAGCUAAUACCGCAUAAUGUCUGCGGACCAAAGCGGGGGACCUCCGGGCCUCGCGCCAUCAGAUGAACCCAUAUGGGAUUAGCUAGUAGGUAAGGUAACGGCUUACCUAGGCGACGAUCCCUAGCUGGUCUGAGAGGAUGACCAGCCACACUGGAACUGAGACACGGCCCAG
rnacentral:rRNA from 1 species